CCUACGGGAGGCAGCAGUGGGGAAUAUUGCACAAUGGGGGAAACCCUGAUGCAGCGACGCCGCGUGAGUGAAGAAGUAUUUCGGUAUGUAAAGCUCUAUCAGCAGGGAAGAAAUAGCGACCUUUGGGUCGCCAGACGGUACCUGAUUAAGAAGCCCCGGCUAACUACGUGCCAGCAGCCGCGGUAAUACGUAGGGGGCAAGCGUUAUCCGGAUUUACUGGGUGUAAAGGGAGCGUAGACGGCAGCGCAAGCCUGGAGUGAAAGGAUGGGGCCCAACCCCAUGACUGCUCUGGGAACUGUGCGGCUAGAGUGCCGGAGGGGUAAGCGGAAUUCCUAGUGUAGCGGUGAAAUGCGUAGAUAUUAGGAGGAACACCAGUGGCGAAGGCGACGAUCUGGGAAGAAACAGACGCUGAGUCCCGAAAGCGUGGGGAGCAAAUAGGAUUAGAUACCCGUGUAGUC
rnacentral:rRNA from 1 species